rnacentral:pre_miRNA from 1 species
UGAACAUAUUAUUGUAUUCGACUGUAUUCAUGGCGUGAAACAUGGAAUUACACUGUUUUUAAACGAAAAGUGAAUCAAUUAACAUAAUAGACUCCU